rnacentral:ribozyme from 1 species
GGCGCGGUGUAGCUCCUAUAUCAAAGUCCGGCUAAUGCGGCCAGGCUUCACGGUCUGGGUGUCACAAGCCACCACGAACGCAGAGUGGCCG